rnacentral:rRNA from 1 species
AUACGUAGGUGGCAAGCGUUGUCCGGAUUUACUGGGCGUAAAGGGCGUGUAGGCGGUUUACACAGUCAGAUGUGAAAUCCCCGGGCUUAACCUGGGAGCUGCAUUUGAUACGUGUAGACUAGAGUGUGAGAGAGGGUUGUGGAAUUCCCAGUGUAGAGGUGAAAUUCGUAGAUAUUGGGAAGAACACCGGUGGCGAAGGCGGCAACCUGGCUCAUGACUGACGCUGAGGCGCG